AGGAACCUCCACACUGUUUUCCAGAGCGGCUGCACCAGUUUGCAUUCCCACCAGCAGUGCAAGAGGGUUGCCCUUUAAAAGAACUUCUCUAAGACGGAUUCCAGAAAAGCGAAAAGAACUUCUCUAAGACGGAUUCCAGAAAAGCGAAAAGAACUUCUCUAAGACGGAUUCCAGAAAAGCGAACCGCGGACUCAGCUGGGCUGCUGUAACAAAAUUCCACAGACGGGGCGGCUUAAACAACGGACUUGUUUCCAGUCCUGGAGGCUGGAGGUCUGAGACCCAGGGGCCAGCACCCGUCUCUGGUGAGAGCUCCCCUCCCGGCUUGGGGAAGGCUGUCUCUCGCCGUGUGCCGAGUGCCUGUCCUCGGUGUGUGCACGGAGAGGGAGCGAGUGCUCCCGUGUCUCCUCUCAGAAGGACUCUAAUCCUAUGACGUCAGGGCUCCACUCUUAAGGCCUCAUUUAACCUUAAUUACUAUAUUAGAGGCCCCACCUCCAAAUACAGCCACAAGGGGAGAUAGGGCUCCAGCAUAUGAAUUUGGGGGUGGGGCGGACACAAUAACACACACACACACAGACACGUGUGCACAGGUGCACAGCCCAAGCUCUGUGUAAGCCAAGAGACCAUUAAGAUGUAUGGCUGCAUCUUACACCUGUUGAGGCACAGCGUAAAAAGAAAAUUUAACAAGUGCUCAGCACUAAAGCCCCCGAUGGGGUCGCUGGCAGCUGGCGAUGGAGGGCGAUCCCAGCGCACGGGUGUCCUCUUGCCUAGGACGACGGGGGCGGGCUGGCCGGCCACACUGCCACGCGGACGGUGGCGGCUCCCGGACGCGGGCAGCAAGCUGGGCUGUUGCGGGGCGAGCGGCCGCUGGCGGGACAGACACACACGAAUCACUGUGAACCCCCGGCGGGGUCAAGUGGAACGACAAAAUCGGGGAAACACAGGAACCAGCGGAGGAUGGUCGCUGUGCAAUAGAACGAGAGGAGACACUCAAAACGCCUCAGUGAUCAGGACACGUGUGAAUCGGGGUUUUCAUACUGGGAUAAAAAACAACCCGACUCGUUCUUUUUCGUGGCGCCUCGGACGUGGUGGGCUGCUUCAGGAUGAAGCGGGACGUCUUCCCAGCUACCGGCUGCCGGAAACGCUUUGAACGGAAACCUCGUACCUUUUCUGAGAAGCCAAUGGCCGCAGACGCUGGAUGGACUUGGGGGAGAAUGGAGGGGUGACGUGGUCUGGGUCACAGGUGGCCGUGACGGACAAGGCCUCCCCGUGAAGGGGGGUGUCUUGACCCACGGCCGCGUCCGCCUGCUGCUGAGCAGGGGGAUUCCUGCUACCGGCCCGGGAGGACGGGGGGAGAAAGCGCGACUCUGCUCGGGGUGCGUCGCGGAUGCCAAUCUCAGUGCUCUCCACUUGGUCCUUGUGGGACAGGGGAGAAGGAUAUUGCCGGCCUCACUGACCCACGGACCCCGAACUAGCAGGAUCCGCGAGCCUUUCGGUCUCUCGAAGGAAGAGGCCGUCCGCCAGCACGUUGUGAGAACGCCCCUAAACGGAGAGGGUGAGAAACCUCGGGCCAGAGCGCCCAGGGUCUUGUUCCUCCGCGUGUCCUCCAGCAGGGACGUCGGGGCACUGCUCGGAAGGAUCAGGACGCUAAGAGGACUAAGCAGGAGCUGCAGACAAAACGGAUCAACCGGGAGACACUCGGGUCGGAGAAAAGGGAGCAUGGUCAGCCUGAUGGUGCAUAAAGUGUGCAAGGGACACCUUCAAGUCGAGAGGCCAGGCCACCCUGUGACAGUGGUAGAGACGGGCAGGGAGGGCCUCUUCCGCGAGGGGUGGGUAGCUCAGGAAAGGAUUCUGAGCAGGACGUAUCUACUGCGUUUUCUGAGAGGCACGGAGCAGCUUGGAAAUAAAGGACUCGGACUGUUAAAAAAAAAUAA